GCCGUUUCGGUUUAAUCUAGUGUGUGACUGUGAGUCUGUGUGAGGGAGCGAGUGUGUGAGGUAUUGAGGUGAGGCGGAGGCGAGAUAAGGGGCUCUCUUAGGAGCGAGGGACAAAGGGGACGAGAAGCACCUAGGCCGCGGGACCCUGACGACAGGAAGCCGCCCUGAGUCGGGCUACCGGGUAGGGGAAGGGCCCGCGCAGUCCUCACAGGGCCCGGGAGCCGAGUCGGCCCCAAAGCCCCGGGCCGUCGCUUCCUACUUCCUCGACCUCCCUUGUGCCGGGGCCUGAGGAUUGGCUUGGCGGAGGGAGAAACAGACUUGAGCAGCUACUCGUCGACUCCCAACUCCAUUGCUGAGGAACUCUCAUUUCUUUCCUCGCUCCUUCACCCUCCCCCCCUCAUGUAGGAGGGUGCUGAGGAAUUGGGAGGGAGGAGGAGCCCGGGCUACCGUCCCUUCCCUCCCCACCCUCUUCUGGGGGCGCUUUGGUGGGCGUGGAGUUUGGAUUGUGGGGGAGGGUGGGGGUUACUUUUUGGAGUGCUGGGGAACUUUUUCCCCUUCUACAGGUCAGGGGGAAGGGAAUGCCCAAUUCAGAGAGACAUGGGGGCAAGAAGGACGGGAGUGGAGGAGCUUCUGGAACUUUGCAGCCGUCAUCGGGAGGUGGGAGCUCCAACAGCAGAGAGCGUCACCGCUUGGUUUCGAAGCACAAGAGGCAUAAGUCGAAGCACUCCAAAGACAUGGGAUUGGUGACCCCCGAAGCAGCAUCCUUGGGUACAAUUAUCAAACCUUUGGUGGAGUAUGAUGACAUCAGCUCUGAUUCAGACACCUUCUCUGAUGAUAUGGCUUUUAAAUUAGAGAGGAGGGAAAAUGAUGAACGUCGUGGAACUGAUCGGAGUGACCGCCUGCACAAACAUCGUCACCACCAGCACAGGCGUUCCCGGGACUUACUAAAAACUAAGCAGACUGAAAAAGAAAAAACCCAGGAAGUCUCCAACAAGUCGGGAUCGGUGAAGGACCGGCUAUCAGGAAGUUCAAAGCGUCCAAAUGAAGAGAAUGAUGACUGUGGGAAGGCACAGGUAUCCAAAAGUAGCAGCAAGGAAUUUAGGUCAUCCAAACUCCAUAAGGAGAAGACCCGGAAAGAACGCGAGUUGAAGUCUGGGCACAAAGAUCGGAGUAAAAGUCAUCGAAAGAGGGAAACACCCAAAAGUUACAAAACAGUGGACAGCCCAAAACGGAGAUCCAGGAGUCCCCAUAGGAAAUGGUCCGACAGCUCCAAACAAGAUGAUAGUCCCUCAGGAGCUUCUUAUGGGCAAGAUUAUGACCUUAGCCCUCCGAGAUCGCACACGUCCAGCAAUUAUGACUCCUAUAAGAAGAGUCCUGGAAGUACUUCACGAAGGCAGUCAAUUAGCCCACCUUACAAGGAGCCUUCCGCCUACCAGUCUAGCACCCGGUCACCCAGCCCCUAUAGUAGACGGCAGAGGUCCGUGAGUCCCUACAGCCGGAGACGGUCAUCCAGUUAUGAAAGGAGUGGCUCUUACAGUGGGAGAUCACCCAGCCCUUAUGGUCGAAGGCGGUCCAGCAGCCCUUUCAUGAGCAAGCGGUCUUUGAGUAGAAGUCCACUCCCCAGUAGAAAAUCCAUGAAGUCCAGAAGUAGAAGUCCUGCAUAUUCAAGACACUCAUCUUCUCAUAGUAAAAAGAAGAGAUCUGGGUCACGUAGUCGUCAUUCCAGUAUUUCACCUGUCAGGCUUCCUUUGAAUUCCAGCCUGGGAGCUGAACUCAGUAGGAAAAAGAAGGAAAGAGCAGCUGCUGCUGCAGCAGCAAAAAUGGAUGGAAAGGAAUCCAAAGGUUCACCCAUAUUUUUGCCUAAAAAAGACAACAGUUCAGUAGAGGCUAAGGAUUCAGGCUUGGAGCCUAAAAAGUUAUCCAGAGGUAUAAAAUUGGAAAAAUCUGUUCCAGAUACUGAACCGGUGAAUGUAACACAUCCAAACACAGAGGUCAAAAAUUCUUUAGAUACAGGAAAAGUAAGGUUGGAUGAAAACUCUGAAAAGCAUCCUGUUCUUAAAGAUUUGAAAGCACAGGGAACAAGAGACUCUAAACCUGUAGCAUUGAAAGAGGAGAUUGUUACUCCAAAGGAGACAGAGACAUCAGAAAAGGAGACCCCUCCACCUCUUUCCACAAUUACUUCUCCACCCCCUUUACCAACUUCUACCCCUCCACCUCAGACACCCCCUUUGCCACCUUUGCCUCCUUUACCAACUGUUCCACAGCAACCACCUCUGCCUCCUCCUCAGCCAACAUUUAGUCAGGUUCCUGUUUCCAGUACUUCAAGUUUGCCCCCUUCUACUUACCCAAGGACAUCUGCUCUAUCCUCUCAGGCAAAUUCUCAGCCUCCUGUACAGGUUUCUGUGAAGUCUCAAGUGUCUGUAACAGCUGCUAUUCCACACCUGAAAACUUCAACAUUGCCUCCUCUGCCUCUGCCACCCUUACUACCUGGAGACGAUGACAUGGAUAGUCCAAAAGAAACUCUUCCUUCAAAACCCGUAAAGAAAGAGAAGGAACAGAGGACUCGCCACUUACUCACAGACCUCCCUCUCCCUCCAGAGCUCCCUGGUGGGGAUCCAUCUCCUCCAGACUCUCCAGAACCAAAGGCCAUCACUCCGCCUCAGCAACCAUAUAAGAAGAGACCAAAAAUUUGUUGUCCUCGUUAUGGAGAAAGAAGACAAACAGAAAGCGACUGGGGAAAACGCUGUGUUGACAAAUUUGACAUUAUUGGUAUUAUUGGAGAAGGAACCUAUGGCCAAGUAUAUAAAGCUAAGGAUAAAGAUACAGGAGAACUAGUGGCUCUGAAGAAGGUGAGGCUAGACAAUGAGAAAGAGGGCUUCCCAAUCACAGCCAUCCGUGAAAUCAAAAUUCUUCGUCAGUUAAUCCACCGAAGUGUUGUUAACAUGAAGGAAAUUGUCACAGAUAAACAAGAUGCACUGGACUUCAAGAAGGACAAAGGUGCCUUUUACCUUGUAUUUGAGUAUAUGGACCAUGAUUUAAUGGGACUCCUAGAAUCCGGUUUGGUGCACUUUUCUGAGGACCAUAUCAAGUCUUUCAUGAAACAGCUAAUGGAAGGAUUGGAUUACUGUCACAAAAAGAAUUUCCUGCAUCGGGAUAUUAAAUGUUCUAACAUUCUGCUGAAUAACAGUGGACAAAUCAAACUAGCAGAUUUUGGACUUGCUCGACUCUAUAACUCUGAAGAGAGUCGCCCUUACACAAACAAAGUCAUUACUCUGUGGUACCGACCUCCAGAGCUGCUUCUGGGAGAGGAGCGUUACACACCAGCCAUAGAUGUUUGGAGCUGUGGAUGCAUCCUUGGGGAACUGUUCACAAAGAAGCCUAUUUUCCAAGCCAAUUUGGAACUGGCUCAGCUAGAACUGAUCAGCCGACUCUGUGGUAGCCCUUGUCCAGCUGUGUGGCCUGAUGUUAUCAAGCUGCCCUACUUUAACACUAUGAAGCCGAAGAAGCAAUACAGGAGGCGUCUAAGAGAAGAAUUCUCUUUCAUUCCUUCAGCGGCACUUGAUUUAUUGGACCAUAUGUUGACACUAGAUCCUAGCAAGCGUUGCACAGCUGAACAGACCCUCCAGAGUGACUUCCUUAAAGAUGUUGAGCUUAGCAAAAUGGCUCCUCCAGACCUACCCCACUGGCAAGAUUGCCAUGAGUUGUGGAGUAAGAAACGGAGACGCCAGCGACAAAGUGGUGUUGUGGUAGAAGAGCCACCUCCACCCAAGGCUCCUCGCAAAGAAACUACCUCAGGGACAAGUGCUGAGCCUGUGAAGAACAGCAGCCCAGCACCACCUCAGCCUGCUCCUACCAAAGUGGAGCCUGGGGCUGGGGAUGCAAUAGGCCUUGGUGACAUCACACAACAGCUGAAUCAAAGUGAAUUGGCAGUGUUAUUGAACCUGCUGCAGAGCCAAACCGACCUGAGCAUCCCUCAAAUGGCACAGCUGCUUAACAUCCACUCCAACCCAGAGAUGCAGCAGCAGCUGGAAGCCCUGAACCAGUCUAUCAGUGCCCUGACAGAAGCCACUUCCCAGCAGCAGGACUCAGAGCCCAUAGCCCCAGAGGAGUCUUUGAAGGAGGCACCUCCUGCCCCAGUGGUCCUGCCUUCAGCAGAACAGACAACCCCUGAAGCUUCAAGCACUCCAGCUGACAUGCAGAAUAUGUUGGCAGUUCUCUUGAGUCAGCUGAUGAAAACCCAGGAGCCAGCAGGCAACCUAGAGGAAAACAACAGUGACAAGAACAAUGGGCCACAGGGGCCCCGAAGAACUCCCACAAUGCCACAGGAGGAGGCAGCAGGUGGCAGCAACGGCAGGGAUGGCCCCUGAGUAAUUUGGUGAUGUCCAUCAGUCACUUCGCAUACAGAGCCUGGCAAAUUCAGUGUCUUCCACAGAACCAAAAGCCAGGCUCAGUGGGAGAUUCCUUCUGCCCAAACACUGUGAGACACUAGAAGCAGAGGCCUGCAAGCCUGCUUUCUCCAUCCCCGAUAUCCAGACCUGCAGGUCACCAGUCUACAGUGCUCAUCCUUAACCUUUUUACCUGCUGCCGAUUCCAUUCCUGGCCACUUCAUCCCUUCCAGUUUGAGAAGACAUGAGAAAAACAAAGCUGAAGUGGAUGGAGCCCAUGAGCAAUCUACCUGCCUAUUUGAGACCCGGAAUGUGUAAAGAAGGCUCAAGUCCUUGGAUAUUUCUUAGAGGAUGGAUGAUCAAUGUUCUCCUUGGAGAUGUGAAGGAGUUCUGACCCUUCUGAGGUCUAAGGAAACUGAGGCCCAUGUAAAGUGAGCUUUCUACUCUGGAGGGGUUUGCUGGAUGGAAAGUUCCACAAGGGCAGUGACACAGCUGUCUGCCCACCUGUGUGUUCCCAGGACCCCACACAGUGCCUAGCAGAAAGCAGCUGUUCGGAAACAAGAAGACGGUCUGCUCAGCAGAGAAUGGGAAAAGUGGAACUCCAUGAAGACACUCAGGCACAAUACACGCUUGUGCACUCUGGAACGUGUGCGCUUAGCUGUGUGUGCAGAGACCACAGGACUGGUGCUUUUUGGAAGUGGAUUGCAGAGGGACCUCUAAGCAUCAUAUCUGAGACCCUUGGACACAAGACACCCAGACUUAAGAGGCCAAAGUGUGGCCAUCUGGUCCUAGUUUAUUCCCUAGAUAGGCUCACUUUCUGUGGGCCUCAGUUUCCCUGUGUGUGAAAUGGCAAGACUGUACUGAAUGGUGUCUGAGGCUUCUUUUUGGUACUGGCAGGUUGAAGGGGUUAAUUCCUUCUGGGUCAAAGUUAAGCCCUUGGCUCUCCUGUCCCUGCUGCCCACUUCAGCAGUUCUGUCACGCCACGCCACCUCCCAAGCCUCCACACACCUGCCAUCCCGAACUGUGAGGAGUUCCCGAAGGCAGUGUUCUCUCCCACUGCCUGCCUUUAUCCACGCUGCUUCCUGUCCCAGAAUGCCCUCCCUGUUUUAGCCCUUUACCUGGCUCACUCCUCCAAGCUUGAUGGCCUUACCUGUCCUCCUCCUCCACUCCCUGGUUCUGGCAAGGCGCCUCCUUUCUGAGUGCCUCUGUGCACUGUUUGCCUCUCUGUUUUCCCACUAGACUAUGAACUCCAGGGUCCUGCUCAAAACUGAAUCUCGCGUAUACGUUUAUUAGUUUCCUGGUUACUGUAUUAAAUUACCAAACCUCAAUGGUUUAAAACAACAGAAAUAUAUGCUCUCACAUUUUGUAGGUCAGAAGUUCACCAUUAGUUUCACUGGGCCAAAAUUAAGGCGUUGGCAGAACUAUGCUUUCCCUGGAGGCCUAGGGAAGAAUCUGUUUCUUGCCUUUUCCAGUGGCUGCUAGCAUUCCUUUGCUUGUGACCUUGUCACUCCCAAUUUCUGUCUUUGUCUUCAGUUGCCUUCUACUCUAUUGCAUGUGUCUUUCUUAUAAAGACACCUUGUCUUUUUUUUUUAAGAAUUAUUUUAUUUAACUUUAUUUAUUUAUUUUAAUUUGACCAGAGAGGGACACAUACAGAGAGAGAGAGAUAAAGUGGAACCGAGAAAGCAAACCACCAGGUCUGGGACUCAAACCACAGUCGGCCAUGUAGGAGUCCAGUGCCCUUCACUGUGACGCCACCUGCCAGCCUCCUUUGUCUCUUUCUUGUAAGGACACUUGUGAUAGCAUUUUGGGCCCACCUAGAAUAAUCUUCCUGCUACAAGCUUCUUAAUCACAUCUGCAAAGACUC